AUGGACAGUCUGUUAUCCUUGGAUUUCAUGAGCCUAACAAGCAAUAGGUACAAAUGGCAGUUCCAAGGAGGCAUGGCACUGUAUUUAGCCAGACAUUCUUCGCUGAGAAUCGUCAGAGUUUCCUGCUGUUACAGUGCUUGGAUGGAACGGGUUCUCGACCCCAGCCUGAGCCGGCUGCUUAGAGCCAGCCCUCCGCCACCUCCUCACCAGGCCUUCAGAUCGCCCCAAGGGCCCCACCGCCGCUCUGGCGCCUCGAAGCUUCUGCCGCCUCUCCUCAGCCACCGCCAUGACGACCGCCUCCCGCUCGCGGGUGCGCCAUCAACUGCCGGAUCAACCUGGGGCUCUAUGCCUCCCUCCUACGUCUACUCACUUGUCCUUGUCUUAUUACUUUGACCGCGAUGUGGCUUUGAAGAAUUUUGCCAAAUACUUUCUUCACCAAUCUCAUGAGGAGAGGGAACGUGCUGAGAAACUGAUGAAGCUGCAGAACCGACGAGGUGGCCGAAUCUUCCUUCAGGACAUCCGGAAACGAGGCCAUGAUGACUGGAAGAGUGCGCUGUACGUGAUGGAGUGUGUGUUACACUUGGAAAAAAAGUAUGAAUCAGUCACUACUGGAGCCAUACAAAAUUGAUAAAAAAUGACCCUCACUUGUGUGACUUCAUGGAGACUUUACUUGAAUAAGCAGGUGAAAUCCUUGAAAGAAUUGGGUGACCAUGUAACCAACCUGAACAAGAUGGGAGGGCCUGAGGAGGGCAUAGUGGAGUAUCUCUUUGACAAGCACACCCUGGGAGACAGUGGUAAUAAGAGCUAAGCCUUAGGCUAACUUCCCCAUAGCCAGGGGGUGACUUCCAUUGUCCCCCAGGCAUUGCAUGUAUGUUGGAGUUUCCUUUACCUUUUCUAUUAGUUGUACCUAAACAUCCACUUAAGUUCUUUCAUUUGUACCAUUCCUUCAAAUAAAGAAAUUUGGUACC